UGAUUAUGUUUGCAAGUAUCUGGGGUUUGUUUUUGAUGAUUGAAACAACAGCAGCAGCAACAGCAGCAGCAGCAGCAGCAGCAGCAGCAGCAGCAGCAGCAGCAGCAGCAACAG
rnacentral:miRNA from 14 species